UCUUCAAAGACUUUGUCAAUCAAAGAUUUAUUUACAUUUUUAAUUGGAAAAACAUGAUCUGAGUAGAUUUUAUUAUCUCCAACCAAAGUGUACAACACAUUACUGCUUUUAACAGUAGACACACCUGUCUUAUCAACCUUGACAGGAUCAAUCACUUGCUUCUUAACAGAUGGAACCUCAGGAGUAUCAGGAUCACAAAGGAUGUGAUUCUCUCGUGGAAUAUCUACUCCUUUCAUCUUGCUAAGUGAUUUAUCCUGAUCACUUACAGCCACUUCUGAUUCAUCAUCCGAUGUCUCAUAGUCCUCGAUAAUUGGAGGACUUUGCUUCAUGGAUGGUGAAGUUUCUUGUUCCUUAGAGGCUGUGUUUGAAGAAUUGUCCGGUUUGAACCCAAGGCCAGUAGUAAACUCCUCAACAUCAAGAGGCACACUGGGUUCAUACCGAGGCAUUUCCUCCUCAUCAGGCAUCUUGGUAUAAUUGUUCAUCAAGGGGG
rnacentral:lncRNA from 1 species